UUGCACGCUGGCGGCAGGCCUAACCCCUGCAAGUCGAGCGGGUGAAGGGAGCUUGCUCCUGGAUUCAGCGGCGGACGGGUGAGUAAUGCCUAGGAAUCUGCCUGGUAGUGGGGGAUAACGUCCGGAAACGGGCGCUAAUACCGCAUACGUCCUGAGGGAGAAAGUGGGGGAUCUUCGGACCUCACGCUAUCAGAUGAGCCUAGGUCGGAUUAGCUAGUUGGUGGGGUAAAGGCCUACCAAGGCGACGAUCCGUAACUGGUCUGAGAGGAUGAUCAGUCACACUGGAACUGAGACACGGUCCAGACUCCUACGGGAGGCAGCAGUGGGGAAUAUUGGACAAUGGGCGAAAGCCUGAUCCAGCCAUGCCGCGUGUGUGAAGAAGGUCUUCGGAUUGUAAAGCACUUUAAGUUGGGAGGAAGGGCAGUAAGUUAAUACCUUGCUGUUUUGACGUUACCAACAGAAUAAGCACCGGCUAACUUCGUG
rnacentral:rRNA from 1 species